UCACUGGGCAUCCUCUGCUUUA
rnacentral:miRNA from 2 species